rnacentral:rRNA from 1 species
UACGGGGGGUGCGAGCGUUGUCCGGAAUCACUGGGCGUAAAGAGCUCGUAGGCGGUUUGUCGCGUCUGCCGUGAAAGUCCGGGGCUCAACUCCGGAUCUGCGGUAGGUACGGGCAGACUAGAGUGAUGUAGGGGAGACUGGAAUUCCUGGUGUAGCGGUGAAAUGCGCAGAUAUCAGGAGGAACACCGAUGGCGAAGGCAGGUCUCUGGGCAUUAACUGACGCUGAGGAGCGAAAGCAUGGGGAGCGAACAGG